GGACUGUUCGUCUAAUGGUUAGGACACUACCCUUAGAGGUGGUAAUAUGGGUUCGAAUCCUGUACAGUCCG
rnacentral:tRNA from 1 species